ensembl:lncRNA
UGGUGAUGAUGGUGGUGAUGAUGGUGGUGGUGGUGAUGGUGGUGGCAGUGAUGAUGGUGGUGGUGGUGAUGGUGGUGGUGGUGAUGGUUGUGAUAGUGGUGGUGAUGGUGGUGGUGGUGAUGGUGUUGAUGUUGGUGGUGGUGGUGAUGGUGUUGAUGAUGGUGGUGGUGAUUGUGGUGAUGGUCGUUAGGAUGAUGAUGAUGAUGGUGAUGGUGGUGAUGAUGGUGAUGGUGGUGAUGAUGGUGAUGGUGGUGGCGGUGAUGAUGGUGGUGGUGGUGAUGGUGGUGGUGGUGAUGGUGGUGGUGGUGAUGGUGAUGGUGGCGGUGGUGAUGGUGUUGAUGGUGAUGGUGGCGGUGGUGAUGGUGUUGAUGGUGAUGGUUGUGAUGGUGAUGGUGAUAGUGGUAAUGGUGAUGGUGUUGAUGGUGAUGGUUGUGAUGGUGAUAGUGGUGAUGGUGAUGGUGGUGAUGGUGAUGGCAGUGAUGAUGGUGGUGAUGGUGGUGGUGGUGAUGGUGAUGGUGGUGAUGGUGGUGAUGGUGAUGGCAGUGAUGAUGGUGGUGAUGGUGAUGAUGGUGAUGGCAGUGAUGAUGGUGGUGAUGGUGGUGAUAGUGGUGGUGAUGGUGGUGGUGGUGAUGGUGAUGAUGAUGGUGGUGGUGAUUGUGGUGGUGGUGAUGGUGGUGG